GGCUCGGUAGCUUAGUUGGUAAAGCGCUCGUCUAGCAUACAAGAGUCCUGGGUUCAAAUCCCAGCCAAGCUC
rnacentral:tRNA from 1 species